GGGUUGUAAAGCCCUGUCGGAGGGGACGAAGUCUUCGGAUUGACGGUACCUUCCAAGAAAGCACCGGCUAACUCCGUGCCAGCAGCCGCGGUAAUACGGAGGGUGCAAGCGUUGCUCGGAAUUACUGGGCGUAAAGCGUACGCAGGCGGUCUGAUAAGUCGGGUGUGAAAGCCCCGGGCUCAACCCGGGAACUGCAUUCGAAACUGCCAGACUUGAGUUUGGGAGAGGGAAGUGGAAUUCCUGGUGUAGAGGUGAAAUUCGUUGAUAUCAGGAGGAACACCGGCGGCGAAAGCGGCUUCCUGGCCCGAUACUGACGCUCAUGUACGAAAGCGUGGGGAGCAAACAGGAUUAGAUACCCUGGUAGUCCACGCCGUAAACGAUGAGUGCUAGAUGUUGGAGGUAUUCACCCCUUCAGUGUCGAAGCUAACGCAUUAAGCACUCCGCCUGGGGAGUACGGCCGCAAGGUUAAAACUCAAAGGAAUUGACGGGGCCCGCACAAGCGGUGG
rnacentral:rRNA from 1 species